rnacentral:rRNA from 1 species
UACGUAGGUGGCAAGCGUUGUCCGGAUUUAUUGGGUUUAAAGGGUGCGUAGGCGGUUCUAUAAGUCAGUGGUGAAAUCCGGCAGCUCAACUGUCGAUGUGCCAUUGAUACUGCAGAACUUGAGUACAGACGAGGUAGGCGGAAUUGACGGUGUAGCGGUGAAAUGCUUAGAUAUCGUCAAGAACACCGUAUAGCGAAGCACUUAUAGACUGAUAACCUGACGCUGAUGAACACGG